UACGUAGGGUGCAAGCGUUGUCCGGAAUUAUUGGGCGUAAAGAGCUCGUAGGCGGUUCGUCGCGUCGGCUGUGAAAUCCCGAGGCUCAACCUCGGGUCUGCAGUCGAUACGGGCGGACUGGAGUUCGGCAGGGGAGACUGGAAUUCCUGGUGUAGCGGUGAAAUGCGCAGAUAUCAGGAGGAACACCGGUGGCGAAGGCGGGUCUCUGGGACGGUACUGACGCUGAGACGCGAAAGCGUGGGGAGCGAACAGG
rnacentral:rRNA from 1 species